rnacentral:rRNA from 1 species
UUAAGCGACUAAGCGUACACGGUGGAUGCCCUGGCAGUCAGAGGCGAUGAAGGACGUGCUAAUCUGCGAAAAGCGUCGGUAAGGUGAUAUGAACCGUUACAGCCGGCGAUGUCCGAAUGGGGAAACCCAGUGCAAUUCGUUGCACUAUCGUUAACUGAAUACAUAGGUUAACGAGGCGAACCGGGGGAACUGAAACAUCUAAGUACCCCGAGGAAAAGAAAUCAACCGAGAUUCCCCCAGUAGCGGCGAGCGAACGGGGAGCAGCCCAGAGUCUGAAUCAGCUUGUGUGUUAGUGGAACGGUCUGGAAAGUCCGACGGUACAGGGUGAUAGUCCCGUACACCAAAAUGCACAGGCUGUGAACUCGAAGAGUAGGGCGGGACACGUGGUAUCCUGUCUGAAUAUGGGGGGACCAUCCUCCAAGGCUAAAUACUCCUGACUGACCGAUAGUGAACCAGUACCGUGAGGGAAAGGCGAAAAGAACCCCGGCGAGGGGAGUGAAAAAGAACCUGAAACCGUGUACGUACAAGCAGUGGGAGCACCUUCGGGUGUGACUGCGUACCUUUUGUAUAAUGGGUCAGCGACUUAUAUUCUGUAGCAAGGUUAACCGUAUAGGGGAGCCGCAGGGAAACCGAGUCUUAACUGGGCGUUAAGUUGCAGGGUAUAGACCCGAAACCCGGUGAUCUAGCCAUGGGCAGGUUGAAGGUUGGGUAACACUAACUGGAGGACCGAACCGACUAAUGUUGAAAAAUUAGCGGAUGACUUGUGGCUGGGGGUGAAAGGCCAAUCAAACCGGGAGAUAGCUGGUUCUCCCCGAAAGCUAUUUAGGUAGCGCCUCGUGAAUUCAUCUUCGGGGGUAGAGCACUGUUUCGGCUAGGGGGUCAUCCCGACUUACCAACCCGAUGCAAACUACGAAUACCGAAGAAUGUUAUCACGGGAGACACACGGCGGGUGCUAACGUCCGUCGUGAAGAGGGAAACAACCCAGACCGCCAGCUAAGGUCCCAAAGUCAUGGUUAAGUGGGAAACGAUGUGGGAAGGCACAGACAGCCAGGAUGUUGGCUUAGAAGCAGCCAUCAUUUAAAGAAAGCGUAAUAGCUCACUGGUCGAGUCGGCCUGCGCGGAAGAUGUAACGGGGCUAAACCAUGCACCGAAGCUGCGGCAGCGACACUAUGUGUUGUUGGGUAGGGGAGCGUUCUGUAAGCCUGCGAAGGUGUGCUGUGAGGCAUGCUGGAGGUAUCAGAAGUGCGAAUGCUGACAUAAGUAACGAUAAAGCGGGUGAAAAGCCCGCUCGCCGGAAGACCAAGGGUUCCUGUCCAACGUUAAUCGGGGCAGGGUGAGUCGACCCCUAAGGCGAGGCCGAAAGGCGUAGUCGAUGGGAAACAGGUUAAUAUUCCUGUACUUGGUGUUACUGCGAAGGGGGGACGGAGAAGGCUAUGUUAGCCGGGCGACGGUUGUCCCGGUUUAAGCAUGUAGGCUGGUUGUCCAGGCAAAUCCGGAUAAUCAAGGCUGAGGUGUGAUGACGAGGUACUACGGUGCUGAAGUAACAAAUGCCCUGCUUCCAGGAAAAGCCUCUAAGCAUCAGGUAACAUUAAAUCGUACCCCAAACCGACACAGGUGGUCAGGUAGAGAAUACCAAGGCGCUUGAGAGAACUCGGGUGAAGGAACUAGGCAAAAUGGUGCCGUAACUUCGGGAGAAGGCACGCUGGUGUGUAGGUGAAGUCCCUGCGGAUGGAGCUGAGACCAGUCGAAGAUACCAGCUGGCUGCAACUGUUUAUUAAAAACACAGCACUGUGCAAACACGAAAGUGGACGUAUACGGUGUGACGCCUGCCCGGUGCCGGAAGGUUAAUUGAUGGGGUUAUCCGUAAGGAGAAGCUCUUGAUCGAAGCCCCGGUAAACGGCGGCCGUAACUAUAACGGUCCUAAGGUAGCGAAAUUCCUUGUCGGGUAAGUUCCGACCUGCACGAAUGGCGUAAUGAUGGCCAGGCUGUCUCCACCCGAGACUCAGUGAAAUUGAACUCGCUGUGAAGAUGCAGUGUACCCGCGGCAAGACGGAAAGACCCCGUGAACCUUUACUAUAGCUUGACACUGAACAUUGAGCCUUGAUGUGUAGGAUAGGUGGGAGGCUUUGAAGCGUGGACGCCAGUCUGCGUGGAGCCAACCUUGAAAUACCACCCUUUAAUGUUUGAUGUUCUAACGUUGGCCCCUGACCGGGGUUGCGGACAGUGUCUGGUGGGUAGUUUGACUGGGGCGGUCUCCUCCCAAAGCGUAACGGAGGAGCACGAAGGUUAGCUAAUCCUGGUCGGACAUCAGGAGGUUAGUGCAAUGGCAUAAGCUAGCUUGACUGCGAGCGUGACGGCGCGAGCAGGUGCGAAAGCAGGUCAUAGUGAUCCGGUGGUUCUGAAUGGAAGGGCCAUCGCUCAACGGAUAAAAGGUACUCCGGGGAUAACAGGCUGAUACCGCCCAAGAGUUCAUAUCGACGGCGGUGUUUGGCACCUCGAUGUCGGCUCAUCACAUCCUGGGGCUGAAGUAGGUCCCAAGGGUAUGGCUGUUCGCCAUUUAAAGUGGUACGCGAGCUGGGUUUAGAACGUCGUGAGACAGUUCGGUCCCUAUCUGCCGUGGGCGCUGGAGAAUUGAGGGGGGCUGCUCCUAGUACGAGAGGACCGGAGUGGACGCAUCACUGGUGUUCGGGUUGUCAUGCCAAUGGCACUGCCCGGUAGCUAAAUGCGGAAGAGAUAAGUGCUGAAAGCAUCUAAGCACGAAACUUGCCCCGAGAUGAGUUCUCCCUGAGACUUUAAGUCUCCUGAAGGAACGUUGAAGACGACGACGUUGAUAGGCCGGGUGUGUAAGCGCAGCGAUGCGUUGAGCUAACCGGUACUAAUGAACCGUGAGGCUUAACCUU